CCUAGGAUUCCCGCGUGGUCCCCCACCGUGGUACUAACUAGGCGGCACUCUGGUUAACUUCGCAGAUCAGACGGGAUGCGGUGCUUUCAGAGUCCUAU
rnacentral:rRNA from 1 species